AAGUGAAGUAGAGGACAGUGGCGGACGGGUGAGUAACGCGUGAGGAACCUGCCUUUCAGAGGGGGACAACAGUUGGAAACGACUGCUAAUACCGCAUGACACAUUGAAGUCGCAUGGCUUUGAUGUCAAAGAUUUAUCGCUGAAAGAUGGCCUCGCGUCUGAUUAGCUAGUUGGUGAGGUAACGGCCCACCAAGGCGACGAUCAGUAGCCGGACUGAGAGGUUGAACGGCCACAUUGGGACUGAGAUACGGCCCAGACUCC
rnacentral:rRNA from 1 species